GAUGAACGCUGGCGGCGUGCCUAAUACAUGCAAGUCGAGCGAACGGACGAGAAGCUUGCUUCUCUGAUGUUAGCGGCGGACGGGUGAGUAACACGUGGAUAACCUACCUAUAAGACUGGGAUAACUUCGGGAAACCGGAGCUAAUACCGGAUAAUAUUUUGAACCGCAUGGUUCAAAAGUGAAAGACGGUCUUGCUGUCACUUAUAGAUGGAUCCGCGCUGCAUUAGCUAGUUGGUAAGGUAACGGCUUACCAAGGCAACGAUGCAUAGCCGACCUGAGAGGGUGAUCGGCCACACUGGAACUGAGACACGGUCCAGACUCCUACGGGAGGCAGCAGUAGGGAAUCUUCCGCAAUGGGCGAAAGCCUGACGGAGCAACGCCGCGUGAGUGAUGAAGGUCUUCGGAUCGUAAAACUCUGUUAUUAGGGAAGAACAUAUGUGUAAGUAACUGUGCACAUCUUGACGGUACCUAAUCAGAAAGCCACGGCUAACUACGUGCCAGCAGCCGCGGUAAUACGUAGGUGGCAAGCGUUAUCCGGAAUUAUUGGGCGUAAAGCGCGCGUAGGCGGUUUUUUAAGUCUGAUGUGAAAGCCCACGGCUCAACCGUGGAGGGUCAUUGGAAACUGGAAAACUUGAGUGCAGAAGAGGAAAGUGGAAUUCCAUGUGUAGCGGUGAAAUGCGCAGAGAUAUGGAGGAACACCAGUGGCGAAGGCGACUUUCUGGUCUGUAACUGACGCUGAUGUGCGAAAGCGUGGGGAUCAAACAGGAUUAGAUACCCUGGUAGUCCACGCCGUAAACGAUGAGUGCUAAGUGUUAGGGGGUUUCCGCCCCUUAGUGCUGCAGCUAACGCAUUAAGCACUCCGCCUGGGGAGUACGACCGCAAGGUUGAAACUCAAAGGAAUUGACGGGGACCCGCACAAGCGGUGGAGCAUGUGGUUUAAUUCGAAGCAACGCGAAGAACCUUACCAAAUCUUGACAUCCUUUGACAACUCUAGAGAUAGAGCUUUCCCCUUCGGGGGACAAAGUGACAGGCGGUGCAUGGUUGUCGUCAGCUCGUGUCGUGAGAUGUUGGGUUAAGUCCCGCAACGAGCGCAACCCUUAAGCUUAGUUGCCAUCAUUAAGUUGGGCACUCUAAGUUGACUGCCGGUGACAAACCGGAGGAAGGUGGGGAUGACGUCAAAUCAUCAUGCCCCUUAUGAUUUGGGCUACACACGUGCUACAAUGGACAAUACAAAGGGCAGCGAAACCGUGAGGUCAAGCAAAUCCCAUAAAUUUGUUCUCAGUUCGGAUUGUAGUCUGCAACUCGACUACAUGAAGCUGGAAUCGCUAGUAAUCGUAGAUCAGCAUGCUACGGUGAAUACGUUCCCGGGUCU
rnacentral:rRNA from 1 species